rnacentral:rRNA from 1 species
CCUACGGGAGGCAGCAGUAGGGAAUAUUGCUCAAUGGGGAAACCCUGAAGCAGCAACGCCGCGUGGAGGAUGAAGGUUUUAGGAUUGUAAACUCCUCUUGUUAGAGAAGAUUAUGACGGUAUCUAACGAAUAAGCACCGGCUAAUUCCGUGUCAGCAGCCGCGGUAAUACGGAGGGUGCAAGCGUUACUCGGAAUCACUGGGCGUAAAGAGUGCGUAGGCGGGGUAAUAAGUCAGAUGUGAAAUCCUGUAGCUUAACUACAGAACUGCAUUUGAUACUGUUACUCUGGAGUGUGGGUGAGGUAGGUGGAAUUCUUGGUGUAGGGGUAAAAUGCGUAGAGAUCAAGAAGAAUACUCAUUGCGAAGGCGGCCUACUAGACCAUUACUGACGCUGAUGCACGAAAGCGUGGGGAGCAAACAGGAUUAGAUACCCCGGUAGUC